GAAAAAUGCAUAUUGAUAAAUUCUUCCGCUUAAUUUAAAAAAAAAACGAUUUACAAGAUUUUUCGAACAAAGGUCUAUAGAGUAACUGGGCGGGUAUUACCCGCCUAUAAUCACUCUAUCAACCAAUUUUAAUUUAUCAGUUGAAAUGCUACCGAUUGAAGAACAUCAAUAUUACGUGUCUGAAUCUAUGUGGAGGUGGAUAAUAACAACAAACCUAUCUCUACUCUCAUUGUGUUUAUGUGAAGUCUUUCUAUCACAACAAAACACGAACCUGAACUCAUAUGUGUUGUACAGUCGUUUUGACUAACCAAUAAAGAAACCAGAACUUAACUGUUACUAAAAAAAGGAUUAAAAAAUAAAUAGAAGAAAACUUACUGUAUCCACCCCAGAACGUGCGGUGUAUACAUCUCUGCAUUUUCCAUUUUGAUCAGGCUUUUGACCGACCGGGCAAACCACAGGCACAUCAAUAACAUUUCUCUGCAAAUUUAAAUGUAAAAAUAAAUGCAAAAUACAUCCGAUAGAGACGUUAGUCUUAAAGAUUGUGACUAAGUUCAAUUUUUCGUGAACAUAAAUGGAGUGAAAAUGAUGAAAUAUAUCACACUCGUCCCAAACUUACAUCGUCCACGUCACUCAAAGUCCAUACUUCUCUGCAUUUACCGUUUUGAUCAGGCUUUUGACCGACGGGACAAACAACAGGUACAUCUAUGACGUU